AUUGAACGCUGGCGGCAUGCCUUACACAUGCAAGUCGAACGGCCGCACAGGUGCUUUCCUCUGCUGGCGAUUGGCGCACGGGUGAGUAUUACAUCUGAACAUGUCCUGUAGUGGGGUAUAGCACGGCGAAAGCCGGAUAACUACCGCAUACGAACUACUGAAGAAGGCUGGUUACCUUCUGGCCGCGCGCUUUGCUGUUACCCGUUGGCUGAUUAGCUAGUUGGUGGGGUAAUGGCCUACCAAGGCGACGAUCAGCAGCUGGUCUGAGAGGGCGAUCAGCCACACUGGGACUGAGACACGGCCCAGACUCCUACGGGAGGCAGCAGUGGGGAAUCUUGGACAAUGGGCGAAAGCCUGAUCCAGCAACGCCGCGUGUGUGAAGAAGGUCUUCGGGUUGUAAAGCACUUUUGUCCGGAAAGAACAACUUGGCAAGAAUCCGGUCGCGGGAUGACGGUACCGGAAGAAUAAGCAACGGCUAACUACGUG
rnacentral:rRNA from 1 species